UACGAAGGGGGCUAGCGUUGUUCGGAGUUACUGGGCGUAAAGGGCGCGUAGGCGGCGCACCAAGUCAGGCGUGAAAGCCCUGGGCUCAACCCGGGAAUUGCGCUUGAGACUGGUGUGCUUGAGUACGGGAGAGGAUAGUGGAAUUCCCAGUGUAGAGGUGAAAUUCGUAGAUAUUGGGAAGAACACCGGUGGUGAAGGCGGCUAUCUGGACCGUAACUGACGCUGAGGCGCGAAAGCGUGGGGAGCGAUCCGG
rnacentral:rRNA from 1 species